UGAGUUUCCACCGGUGCACACAGGUUGUAGAUUUGAGGGUUUUGUUUCUUUGUUUUUUGAUUUAUUUGUUUAUUUUUGAGUUUUUGGCUAUUUCCUUGAAGAUUAUAGAUCUGAUUCCUUAGGGGAUAUAGCAAAAUGAUCAUGGAUGGAAUUUCAGCACUGUCCACCGUUCCGUUUCCCCUGAGUCAUCACCACAAAGAAAGCUUUCUCUGGACUCUCUCUUCUCUUCCCUGUGAGCCUGUGAGCUCUUAGAGAAUUUCUUGAAGGAAAAACAUGAAAGGGAGGCGUUGACUUUCUUUCUGUAACCUGCAGUAUCUUCACACUCUCAUGCUAGCCCACACUUGACUUUAAGGAAUUCUUAAAAUUCCAAGCUGCAGCUUCUUACUAGUUUCUAUGGUGUUCUGUGGCCUCUACGACAGUCUCCAUUUAGUCUCCCCAAUUCCUGACUACAAGUGUUAUCUUCUUCAUUUAGAAUGGUGAUUUUAUUUAUCAAGGGCCAGAGAGUUGUAUUCUGCAAACUCUUCAUAUCAGAGAGUCAUGAGAAUUUGUAAAAUGUAUGAGAAUGCUAUAUAUUAUUCCAAGAAAGAACUUACACAUACCGUAAGUAUGAGGGCAGAUGAAAAGGUAUCUGAGAUAAGCCUUUAUUUUAUUCCUUAAAGGUGUGGAAAAACUCAGGCACAAUAUUUAAGAUACUACAAUUAACCUUCAAUUUUGAUAUAGAGUCUAGUGCCUUUAUUGGCUGAGAAUGGUGCUGAUUUAACUAAGUAAUCUAUUAACUCCUAGAGAACUGAAAGAAGUGAAGAACUAUGAGCAUAGAAGGUAAGAAAAUAGAUUAGGAAAGAAGGUAAAGGAGAGAAUGAAGAGAGUAAAAAAGAAGAAAACAAACAAAUUAAAAGUACCUACUUUAAAGAGUACUUUAGCAAUUCAAUCAAGUUUUUGAUACAUUCUUACAAUAACCGUAGGAAGUCAGAAUUAUUAUGAUGUUUUACUACAGUUGAAAAAUUAGAUUUAGAGAGGCUAAAUGUUUUACUUUUCUCCUAGUGACAUAAAUUAUGAACUGUAGAAAAGAGCCCAACUCUUAGAUUUUUCUCCCCAAACACACGGGCUGGUCCACUUUACCCAAUGGUAGAUCACAAAAUCCCAUGAUGGGUAACAGUGAAGAACCAGUGACUGCCUCAGGUUUCCAUUUGGGGUCCUCAUGAAGCAGAAUGUCUCUUCAUCUUUUGGGAGAUCAACAACUCAUGUUGUGGGGAAAAGAAAGAGAGAUCAGAUUGUUACUA
rnacentral:lncRNA from 10 species